GAUGAACGCUGGCGGCGUGCCUAAUACAUGCAAGUCGAGCGAACGGACGAGAAGCUUGCUUCUCUGAUGUUAGCGGCGGACGGGUGAGUAACACGUGGAUAACCUACCUAUAAGACUGGGAUAACUUCGGGAAACCGGAACUAAUACCGGAUGAUAUUUUGAACCGCAUGGUUCAAAAGUGAAAGACGGUCUUGCUGUCACUUAUAGAUGGAUCCGCGCUGCAUUAGCUAGUUGGUAAGGUAACGGCUUACCAAGGCAACGAUGCAUAGCCGACCUGAGAGGGUGAUCGGCCACACUGGAACUGAGACACGGUCCAGACUCCUACGGGAGGCAGCAGUAGGGAAUCUUCCGCAAUGGGCGAAAGCCUGACGGAGCAACGCCGCGUGAGUGAUGAAGGUCUUCGGAUCGUAAAACUCUGUUAUUAGGGAAGAACAGAUGGGUAAGUAACUGUGCACAUCUUGACGGUACCUAAUCAGAAAGCCACGGCUAACUACGUG
rnacentral:rRNA from 1 species